rnacentral:lncRNA from 1 species
UGUUCAAAGCAUCUAUUCAUUCGAGCUUGAUGAAAAGGAGACCAUAGAUACAGUUAAGUCUGAUUCGUAUCUUGAAUAAAUUCUAGAAACAGACAAUACAAUACAAUACACGUUAUCGCUAACCCCGGCUGACCCGGCCGCUUAAAAUGUUGACGUCAACAACAAUCACUUUUCCAUUGUGGCGUCAGUUAUUUUGUUUUAUGACGUCAACAUUUUACGGGAACCUGUGUGAUAUCUAGCAAUGGCGGGCAAAUAUCGAUAAGGUGUAUACAAUAUGCUUUAUUGUAAAAACACCCCGUCACAUUGACAUGUGAAACAAGAGGUAAACACAUACAAAAUACAAUCACAUACAAUCAAAUGAAUAAAUAAAACAACUUAGAAACUUAAAAACUUAGAAACAAUUAGGGUCGAUUGAAAAACAGAAAAACAGAUUCCCAAUUGAGGAGUUUCCAUUUUUAGGUAACAACAUAGCAACGCAUAUAGAGUAUAUAUCUUCCAAAUGACACUAUAUUCAGGGGGACGAUUUCUCUUAUGAAUCCCUUGAUAGAGAGCUGCUGCUCAUGAGGAAUUCGAAGCUAUUUAAACCAAGAGUUUCAAAUGGUGAAGUUGAAAUUAUCCCUUUAAAAAUUAUACGGACUUUAUCACGAGUUGGUUGACCGUUAUGGAAUAUCUGUUUCAUAGAUGAAGCUUAUAUGAAUGACAAGCAAACAAAACACUAGUUUUGAAAUAUUUCACGUCAAUGAACCGAAAUAUUGGGAAAUGUAGGAAUAACUGUGCACAUAAACAUUCCUUUGAAACAUUAAAUGCUACAUACCAAUUGAUGCACUACUAACAUAUCCCAAAUAUAACAAGUGAUACAAUA